rnacentral:rRNA from 1 species
UACGUAGGGUGCGAGCGUUGCCCGGAUUUAUUGGGCGUAAAGGGCGCGUAGGCGGCUCUGCACGUUCGUUGUGAAAUCGCCCGGCUCAACUGGGCGGGGUCAGCGGAUACGGCGGAGCUUGAGCAAGCUAGGGGGCAAUGGAAUUCCCGGUGUAGAGGUGAAAUUCGUAGAUAUCGGGAGGAACACCAGUGGCGAAGGCGGCGACCUGGACGGACAUUGACGCUGAGACGCGAAAGCGUGGGGAGCAAACAGG